rnacentral:pre_miRNA from 1 species
UUGAGAGCAAUUUUCGCCAAAAAUUGCUUUUUUGAAGGAAAUUGUCUGCACUGUUAAAAAUCUGUCAAAACUGCAAUUUUUGACGAAAAUUGCUCC